GGCGAUCAAGAUACCGCCCUAGUUCUGACCGUAAACGAUGCCAACUAGCGAUCCGCCGGUGGAUUUUUAGCCCUGGUGGGUAGCUUCCCGGAAACGAAAGUCUUCCGGUUCCGGGGGAAGUAUGGUUGCAAAGCUGAAACUUAAAGGAAUUGACGGAAGGGCACCACCAGGAGUGGAGCCUGCGGCUUAAUUUGACUCAACACGGGGAAACUCACCCGGCCCGGACACCGUAAGGAUUGACAGAUUGAUAGCUCUUUCAUGAUUCGGUGGUUGGUGGUGCAUGGCCGUUCUUAGUUCGUGGAUCGAUUUGUCUGGUUUAUUCCGAUAACGAGCGAGACUCUAGCCUACUAAAUAGUAACGAGAUUAUCAAUGUCUCAGUUGCUUCUUAGAGGGAUUUUCGGUGUUUAGCCGCACGAGAUUGAGCAAUAACAGGUCUGUGAUGCCCUUAGAUGUCCGGGGCUGCACGCGCGCUACACUGGCGAAAUCAGCGUGCUGUAUCCAUUCUCGAAAGGGAUUGGUAAACCCAUGAAAAUUUGCCGUGCUUGGGAUCGGAAAUUGCAAUUAUUUUCCGUGAACGAGGAAUUCCAAGUAAGUGCGAGUCAUCACCUC
rnacentral:rRNA from 1 species